GGAUGCGAUCAUACAAGCACUAAAGCACCGGAUCCCAUCAGAACUUUGAAGUUAAGCGUGCUUGGGCGAGAGUAGUACUAGGAUGGGUGACCUCCAGGGAAGUCCUCGUGUUACAUUCC
rnacentral:rRNA from 2 species